rnacentral:lncRNA from 1 species
UUGAAUGAUAAAACGGUGGCUCUCUUGAGCUUGGUAUUGCUUGUCCUAUUUUGGCAAAUAUAGUGUUGUAUCCUAGUUUUUUUUACAAAGGGGAACACCCCCUAUUUCAUUACGAAAUAGACAGAAACAUAGUUCAUACAUGACCGUUAAGGCCACCAGAAAACGAAAAGCCGACAAAACGCACGCAACUAUCAGCUAAAGAAAACAUAACACGGGGAAAGCCUUCCACCGAGGAGUUUCAGACCAUCUAACAUAUUUGCCCAAAAGCAGAGAACAAAGAGCCACACCGAAAGUGACAAGAGCAUGACAUCGCAAACUAAGAACUUAAACAAGUUUACGAACAGAGCACCCACAUGAAUACAGCUCCCAGCACGGUUAAACCAAAAGGACAUACUAACAUACAAACUUCAUUGAAUGCGUCUAUCAACCGACUUCCAUCCAUGAGCUUUUCUGAAAAUUUCACUUGUUGUCUUUCGAAUUCUGAGGUUUCCUUGCUCCACCAGUUUUUUCCUUCUCUUUCUGUCGAAUUGUCCAAGCGUCAAUCCAGAAACAACAUGAGAAGAUCACAUUAGUCGGAUCAUCAAUCAAAUUAUCAUUAAAACAACAAUCAUUUUGAGAGCGCCAAAUCGCCUAGAUGACUGCGCCACAACCGAAAAGGACCAGAUUUUUUCAGUUUUGCUAAAACUGUUAAUCCAAGGUCCAAAGAGAUUUUCAACAUCACUGGGAAUAGAAUUCAAGUUAAGGGUUGUUUGAAUUAUUCUCCAAAUAAACCUAGCAACAGAGCAUUGGAAGAAAAGAUGAUUUAUAGACUCUGGUAGUCCACAAAAAACACAAUUAAGAUUCCACUUCCAGUUUCUUUUGCUCAGAUUGUCUUUUGUUAAAAUCUUAUUGUGGAAAACAUUACAAUGUUGUAUCUAAACAAUGUUUCUCAAAACCAUGAUAUUUUGGAGCUGCUAAAACUAUGGUAUUGUCAUGACAAUUACAAAGUAUAGUAUUGUAAAACCAUGGUUUUGAAAAACAUUGUUGACAAACAGGCCCUUCGGGUUAGAGUGGAGUUUUUAAAUACUCUAAAAAUACUAUGAUAACUACUAAACCAUGGUAUUCAAAACAAAGUUUUUUACAUGGUACCCAAACAUCUCUUGGCAAAAAAAUAGCAUAGUAUUCUUCAAUACCAUGGUUUUAUCUCAAAACUCCAAAAAUACUCUAUUUCCAAACAGGAUUUCCUCCCUCAUGGAUCCCCUCCAAUUCACUUGUCACCAAACUAGCCUUUUGAAUAGCAAGGGAUUUUCUCCCCCAUAGAUCCUCUCCGAUUCCCUUGUCAUCGAACUGUGGGUGGUAAUAGAUCAUGAUCCAAAUGUUUAUUCACAAAUUGCUAGGGCCCUAAAUCAUUUUUAGUUUAAAAAUCGAUAGAAAUAUGAUCCGAUCCUAACUCGAUCCGAUCCUUACUUUUUACAGUGUAAAAUUUAGAGCUCAUUGUCACCCCUACAUUGAACCAGUCUUUAGUGUUUUAGUGUUUUUGAGGGAGUUAGCCCAAGUAUCUAGUUGAUGCUGCAAAAGGAGACAAUUGCAUAUUUAGGACUUCAAACAUCGCGCUUCGCAAUAAUGCCAUCCAAAACAUUUGUUUCGUAAAAAUAGGACUACAAACAUGUUCUAAUUGAUUAUACUACCAUUUGCCAUAUAUUCUUUCUUUUAUAAUUUCUUUCCACGUAUUUUGAAUCUGAGACAAAAUUAUCCUUCUGUAUGAGAAUGUGUGGGAGAGAGAUGUGGUCUCUAACUCUCUGGUGUUCAGUCGGAGGUUAAGCCCUCUAUAAUGUUUCCCUCAGGAUCUCUGUUCUGAGUUGGUGUGUGUAGUGUUGGACAGCAACUAGUCGCUGUAAUUUGGAGUGUGUUUCCGUUGGUGUUGGGGGUUUCUGGAUUGGUCUCUUGACUUCCCAUUUGUAGUCUGUUUUACUUAAUGAAAUGACACGUAUAGAGAAAAAAUAGCUUUUAAUUAUUUUUUCACCUGUACACCUGGAUCAUAUUUAUUGUAUAAUAUUCUUCAUCUAAUUUUUGGUUUGAAAUGGAAGUGAACGAGAAAGGGAGCAAUCUGGUGUCACAAUCUCCUGUCGUUGCAUGUGGUCACAUUUGGCUAAUCUGAGAGCUUCUGGCGGCAGCUUCCAUGAGCACUAUAAUCCAUAAUGGUGCACUAUUGCCCCCUGCUGCAGCACUUGUCCCAACACUCUGGCCCUAGUUUUUUUUUGAGGUGGACAUGCCCCAUUGAGUCACAAGCCAUGUGAUUGGUUACCUGCACCAUUUGAUCCUGAGCUAUUGUAUGCAUUGACUUUAUGCAAGCACCUGUUUGGUUACCUGUAUGUGACAGACGUGAGCUGCACGAGUAGAUACAAAAUAAUUUAUUUUACUGCUAUUUUUCUAUAUCCGCCGGUACGCCCGAAAUCUGCGUAUGCGGCUGGCCAGGCUCGCGCCUGCCCGGCUUCGCACAGCCGGCCAACCAAUCAGCCCAAAGGUGUGAUCUUGAAUCCCAGUGGCAUGCUAUGAAUAAAAAAUAUGCAGAUACAACGAAGGUAAUUAUUUAUAGCAUUGCAUUUUAUUUAUUUUGUUGUGACCAUUUUAUUGUGGUACACAAGGCCAUAUAUUAUUUGUUAAAUUUGGUAGUUGUUUAGAAACUUCUAUUAAACAAGAUUGAAGGACAAAGCAAAUUCUUGGUUGAAGCUUAACUAACAUAGGAGAGAACUAUUAUAACAUUCAGUUCAAAAUGGCCUAUGUGUAUCAGAUAUGCCUUAUAUUUUUCCUUUUUACCAUGGAAUGGACAUGCAAAGGAUAUUGCUAAGUGGAGGGCAAAAGAUAUCAAAUUGAAAUUGGAAUCUAUGAAACAAUACCUGCAGAGGGAGAAACGUAUUAAUAGUAUAGCUCUAGUCACAGCCCGAAGUGCUCAAAGGGAGAAUGCUGCAACUCCGCGGGUGACACGGGCGGCGACUCCGCCACCACCACAACACCCGCCGC